CAGCCGUCGGAUAAUAUCCGAGGACUGAUAAGCCAAAAGAAAAUGUCCGUGAAAUCCAUCCAGUUCUUGUAUAAAUUGACAUCGCCGUGCAACGAAAACCCUAACUCAUUAGUUUAAGUAUGAGGCAUAUGGAGGAUGGUCUAAUGCCAGGCUCCUCCAUGGCCGUUGAUUACUUUGACGUAAUCCUUCCAACGAGCGCUCCUCUAAUUGGGCAAUGACGAUGAAAUCCAUCACGGAAGGAGAUCUUAAUCCGCUUUAGGAAUGCUUCCGAGGGUGCUUUAGAGAUCGCAAUGCCUCUCUUGCUUUGGCGCCGGAGCAGCUUGGAUGGCCCGUUAUUCUACGGGAAACCGCUCUCUCUGUGUGUCGCUGGUGUAGAGAUAGCGGGUGGAUCUCCUUGGUGAUGGAGAUAAGGUUAAUCUGAGCCCUCCGUCUUCCAAUUUUCUUACCAAUCUUUACCAAAUGUUUCUCUUCCCCUGUCGUACCCGCAACCCUCUCCGAAAUCUAUCCCCGCUCUGUCAAUUUAGUCCAAAAUCAUUGACUUCGUGAUUAAACCCUCACGAUUCCAUAGCGAUUGGAGCUAGGAAGGCAACAACGGGAUUGAGAUGUACAAAAAACAUCUAAAACUCCUCUCUCUCUCUUUCGUUCGCUUUCUCUCGUCAUCUAUCUAUCUAUAUUACUUUAGAGAUAUUCAGUCUCGACAUGCAAUGGCGAUAGAGGUGCUUGGAAGGUUUGUGCCUGUAAAUGUAACUGUUGCUUCCAUGAGUCACCGGUUGUUGUACAUUCUCUUGGAUAUAACAAUAGUGAUUCUAAGCUUUUGAUUCCCCAUUUCUUUCCGCAAUUUUCCAUAUAUUUCUAGCAACCAUAUGAGCUAUUGAAAAUACAUAAUUUAUUGUAACUAUGUCAAAGUAGAAAUCUAUCUUGGUUUCUUUUUCGGGCAUUUACAUGCACACCACACGAAUUUUUAGUAUUUAAAUAUCUAACACCUAAAUUUUAAUGGUCAGCUGGCACAAAACAAUGUUUUGGAUAUGUUUUGUAAGAGAACAAACAAUGCCUUUUUUUAUCUAAUUUGAGCUAUUAUGAGGCUUACGAAACUAAAUUUCUCUCUUCUUUCUUUCCUUAUUUUACAUUUGACGAUGAUGAUUACAUGCAACAUGGAAUGUGAUCUUAUCCCUAUUCAUGGUGCUUCAGUGAUCUCUUCACUUUUCAUGCACUGAUGGAGCAGCUUGAAUGACCUAUGCUUCUACAGGUAACCGCUGCAUCCUAGUGCCAUUGGUAGAGAACAUGUGGGUGUAUCUGCCUUUUGAUGGAACUAAGGUGAAUUUGAACCAAUGAUACCUUUUUUUUUUACUUUUCUAUAUCUUCAAGCAACCAGAUGGAGCGUUAAAGUGGUUUGAUGUUUGUAAUUGCUGUAUUGAGCAUUUACCAUGUGACAUAUGAUUUAUUCUUGAAGUUUUUUGAUUUCUAUUGUGCACAUCCAGAUGUGUAAUGCUGAACUACAUUUCCAAUAAAGAUUACUCUUUUGGAACGUUUCAUGCAAGCCACAACAAACUAGCAAAAUGAGUAUUCUUUUUUAUUGCCAUGAAUGGUAAUAAUGUUGUGAAAAACGACGGCAAUAAAGCGAAAAAUUGAAACGAGAAGAUCCUCACACAAAGAUAGAACAUACAAGUCUACGUGGUUCGGCAAAUUGUCUACUUUCACGGACUUGCAAAGGAUUUUUUUACUUGAAGAUCACAUAGUUUCUCAACAAAAUUACAAGAACUCCCAGUAAACUCUUCCUCCCUGCUAGUUGAAUCUCACGAAGCUCCCUGCUAGUUGAAUCUCACGAAGCCUGUUUUGCCUUUACUUUUGCACGAUUCCUUCUGUUGCUAGCUGCUCGCAAGGCACCAGUUCUUCUUCCGGUCACAAGCUGUUUGCAGGGCACCAGUUCUUCCUCCUUUCGGCUGACUUAUACCUUCAGAAUUGCUCACAUGCUUCGUUCAAGAAAGACUGUUACCUUUAUUCGCGGAAAUGGGAAAGCGGGAGAGCGCGAAUACACAACCGAUAAAUUACUCAAAAGAUUUCUCUAUGAAUUUCAGGAAUCUCUCCAGUGGUGUCAAAUCGGAUUUGUAAGGUUAACGCUGAAUUGCAGAUCCGCGGAUCUGCUUUGAUGUGGAAUGGUGAUGAAUCUGAGCCCUCAAACUCCCGCUUUCCUUUGUAACCUUUUCUCUUAAGAGGUUUUUCAUUGUUAUGCAAGUAAUUCUGCAUUCUACGGGGCUGUUUGGUAGCAAGAAUUCAGCAGGAUUUAACUUAAAUCCUGAAAACAGAAAAAAUGACAUUUUUAAAUUCUACACGUUCUUAAAUUCCCUUUUUCUUUUGCUGUCUUAAAUCCUGGAUUUAGUUAAUCCAGUUGGAAGACAAACUUUUGGGAUUUGAAGAAGCUAUGGUUUCUAGGAGGAACGGAGUGGAAGGAGGAGAAAGAUGGGAAUUUUGGGAUUUGCUCUAAUUGUGACUCUUAUCACUAUGGUUUGGUCACAAAGGAAAUGAUUUUGGGCAAGACUGGGAUAGCGGAGAGGGAUGUUGGCGAGGAUUUUGGAAAGGAGAGGGGGAGAGGAAGAUAAAUAAGGAACUUACCAAAUAUAUCUCGCCUAAAUUAGGAAAGA